AUUGGACGCUGGCGGCAGGCCUAACACAUGCAAGUCGAGCGGAUGAAGGGAGCUUGCUCCUGGAUUCAGCGGCGGACGGGUGAGUAAUUCCUAGGAAUCUGCCUGGUAGUGGGGGAUAACGUCCGGAAACGGGCGCUAAUACCGCAUACGUCCUGAGGGAGAAAGUGGGGGAUCUUCGGACCUCACGCUCUCAGAUGAGCCUAGGUCGGAUUAGCGAGUUGGUGGGGUAAAGGCCUACCAAGGCGACGAUCCGUAACUGGUCUGAGAGGAUGAUCAGUCACACUGGAACUGAGACACGGUCCAGACUCCUACGGGAGGCAGCAGUGGGGAAUAUUGGACAAUGGGCGAAAGCCUGAUCCAGCCAUGCCGCGUGUGUGAAGAAGGUCUUCGGAUUGUAAAGCACUUUAAGUUGGGAGGAAGGGCAGUAAGUUAAUACCUUGCUGUUUUGACGUUACCAACAGAAUAAGCACCGGCUAACUUCGUG
rnacentral:rRNA from 1 species